rfam:Roseisalinus antarcticus strain CECT 7023 genome assembly, contig: 0023
CUUGGACCCGGUGAAAGACCGGGUGGCUCUUCCGGCCGCUGAUCCGCCGGACAACG